rnacentral:rRNA from 1 species
UAGAUGGUGAUGUUAGGUUUCUUGCUUGUGUCUACGGAUGCUUGCUUGAACCUUCAUUCCUCUUUCCUGGUGGUUACAUUCAUAGUGUUUAGACAGAAAAUUGCUCGAUAUUUGCUAUCAAUGCUCUUUACCGAGUGUUGAUUCAAGCGAUCGAGACUUUUACCUUGAAAAAAUCAGAGUGCUCAAAGCAGGCGUCCAAAACCUCGAAAGAGGUGCCUAAAAACGGUAUGGUCAACCAUCUAUAUGAUGCGUACCACUACCUUAACUUGAAUGAUCUUGCAUGGAAUAAUGGAAUAGGACCUUGGUUCUAUUUUGUUGGUCUUAAGAAUCCAAGGUAAUGAUUAAGAGGGACAGAGCGGGGCAUUUGUAUUGCGGCGCUAGAGGUGAAAUUCUUGGACCGUCGCAAGACAAACUACAGCGAAAGCAUUUGCCAAGAAUGUUUUCAUUAAUCAAGAACGAAAGUUAGAGGUUCGAAGGCGAUCAGAUACCGCCCUAGUUCUAACCAUAAACGAUGCCAACCAGCGAUCAUUCUGAGUAACUAAUUCAUGACUCGAAUGGAAGCUUCCGGGAAACCAAAGUUUUUGGGUUCCGGGGGAAGUAUGGUUGCAAAGCUGAAACUUAAAGGAAUUGACGGAAGGGCACCACCAGGAGUGGAGCUUGCGGCUUAAUUUGACUCAACACGGGAAAACUCACCCGGCCCGGACACUGAGAGGAUUGACAGAUUGAGAGCUCUUUCUUGAUUCAGUGGUGGUGGUGCAUGGCCGUUCUUAGUUGGUGGAGUGAUUUGUCUGGUUAAUUCCGAUAACGAACGAGACUCUAGCCUACUAAAUAGACUUGCAGUUUACACUGCAGUACUCCCCCUUAGUCAACCUGUGGGUGGUAGUAUCUCUUGAUGGUUUCGGCUGUUGAGGGCUCUGCUGCUAUUAGCCUACAGAAUUGGCUAGGGUAAGGAUGCUGUAGCACUGUAAGGACUUCUUAGAGGGACAAGCGGCGCUCGCAGCCGCACGAAACAGAGCAAUAACAGGUCUGUGAUGCCCUUAGAUGUCCGGGGCCGCACGCGUGCUACACUGAAGUGGUCAUCGUGCAUACUGUUUCCUGCUCCGAAAGGAGUGGGUAACCGCUUGAACCCAUUUCGUGAUGGGGAUUGGGCAUUGUAAUUAUUGCCCAUGAACGAGGAAUUCCCAGUAAGCGUGAGUCAUUAGCUUGCGUUGAUUACGUCCCUGCCCUUUGUACACACCGCCCGUCGCUACUACCGAUUGAAUGAUUUAGUGAGGACUUCGGACUGGUCAAUCCAGACCAUUGGGAAACUAGUGGUCGGAUUGUGCUGGAAAGAUGUUCAAACUUGAUCAUUUAGAGGAAGUAAAAGUCGUAACAAGGUUUCCGUAGGUGAACCUGCGGAAG